UCUUAUGGAUGACCGAAGAAAGUGGUUUCUUGAGAUGGAAUCUGCUCCUGAUGAAGAUGCUAUGAA
rnacentral:pre_miRNA from 1 species